CACGUAGGGUGCAAGCGUUAAUCGGAAUUACUGGGCGUAAAGCGUGCGCAGGCGGUUCGUUGUGUCGGCGGUGAAAGCCCCGGGCUCAACCUGGGAAUGGCCGUUGAAACUGGCGAACUGGAGUGUGGCAGAGGGGGGUGGAAUUCCGCGUGUAGCAGUGAAAUGCGUAGAGAUGCGGAGGAACACCGAUGGCGAAGGCAGCCCCCUGGGCUGACACUGACGCUCAGGCACGAAAGCGUGGGGAGCAAACAGG
rnacentral:rRNA from 1 species